AUUGAACGCUGGCGGAAUGCUUUACACAUGCAAGUCGAACGGCAGCACGGACUUCGGUCUGGUGGCGAGUGGCGAACGGGUGAGUAAUAUAUCGGAACGUAUCCAAUAAGGGGGGAUAACUAAUCGAAAGGUUGGCUAACACCGCAUACGUCCUACGGGAGAAAGCUAGGGACCUUCGGGCCUCGCGUUAAUGGAGCGGCCGAUAUCGGCUUAGCCAGUUGGUGAGGGAAAGGCGCAACAAGGCGACGAGCCGUAGCUGGUCUGAGAGGACGACCAGCCACACUGGAACUGAGACACGGUCCAGACUCCUACGGGAGGCAGCAGUGGGGAAUUUCGGACAAUGGGCGCAAGCCUGAUCCAGCCAUUCCGCGUGAGUGAAGAAGGCCUUCGGGUUGUAAAGCUCUUUCGCAAGGGAAGAAAACUUACCCUCUAACAUAGGGUGAGGUUGACGGUACCUUGAUAAGAAGCACCGGCUAACUACGUGCCAGCAGCCGCCGUAA
rnacentral:rRNA from 1 species